CAACCCCGGUUGGAACUGUGGUUUAAUUCGAUGCAACGCGAAGAACCUUACCUACUCUUGACAUCCAGGGAACUUGCCAGAGAUGGAUUGGUGCCUUCGGGAACUCUGAGACAGGUGCUGCAUGGCUGUCGUCAGCUCGUGUUGUGAAAUGUUGGGUUAAGUCCCGCAACGAGCGCAACCCUUAUCCUUUGUUGCCAGCGGUCCGGCCGGGAACUCAAAGGAGACUGCCAGUGAUAAACUGGAGGAAGGUGGGGAUGACGUCAAGUCAUCAUGGCCCUUACGAGUAGGGCUACACACGUGCUACAAUGGCGCAUACAAAGAGAAGCGACCUCGCGAGAGCAAGCGGACCUCAUAAAGUGCGUCGUAGUCCGGAUUGGAGUCUGCAACUCGACUCCAUGAAGUCGGAAUCGCUAGUAAUCGUGGAUCAGAAUGCCACGGUGAAUACGUUCCCGGGCCUUGUACACACCCGGCCGUU
rnacentral:rRNA from 1 species